ensembl:lncRNA
UCGUUGAAAAGAAAGUCAAACAUGUUAAAUGUUCAAAGGUCAGGCAGUGCCGGAGAAAGGAAAAUAAAAACACAUCACCUGUUUAAAUUAUAUCUAUGAUCAAGUUCACAUUCAGUUAAGAAAUGAAGCUUCUGUUAAGGCUAUGUCUUCCACAGAUGUCUUCAGAAGAAAUUGAUGACCGAUUCCCUAGUCCAAAGACGUGUUGUAGGCUGACUGGCAUUGUUGUGAAUGUGUGUGCGAUUGUGCCCUGCCAUGGGUUGGCACCCCGUCCAGGGUGUCCCCCGCCUUGUGCCACAAGUUCCCUGGGAUAGGCGCUCCUGCGACCCUGUGUAGGAUAAGCAGUAUGGAAUGGAUGGAUGGGUGAGAAUUCACUGGGUAUGGAUGGAUACCCACUGUGCCAAGCUUAGGAAAAAAAGCAAAGAAGCAAAACUAGGCAGAACAAGAAUCAGAACCGCGAGGAAGAAAACAGGACCAAAAACCAUGGAACGAGAAACACAAUGAUGAAAUGCUUGGUACGGGUACGGCGGAAAACACAGAAACACACAAUACAUUGCGCCCAAUAUCCUGGAGUGAUGAUAAAGUUUCUGUUUUGUGUUUUCUUUCCAUCCCUCUAGAUAAUAUGACACAGACAGUCUUCCUCUGUUAGCGAGUACCAACUCUGGAUACAUUGAACCUCUGCGAGCGAGACUUCCCAUAAUCCGUUCAAAUCGAUUGGUUUGGUGAAUUUAGUAGUGUAGUGCGCGAUCUUAUUAUUAGUGUAAAUACCCAGCGACGUGUUGCUUGGAAGCGUCACAAAGAAUCCGCACUCUUCCAUGGUUUAAUGAAUAUCGAUUUCAGCUUUGUUCACGACGAUCCUUUAUUUAUGUUAACUACGUCUACGACCGGGAACCAGGAAUUAAAUUUAUCGGGCCGACCCACCCAUUUCACCAGGCAGACUUUUUUCUGGUUUCGGGUCUUUUCAGACA